AAAAUGGAAAUGAACUAGAAAAUGAUUUAAACGCGCAAUGGGCCCAAAGUUGGGGGUGGGGAAAGCAAGUGUGCAUGCCCAUGAUCCAUUUUCAUUUAAACAAAACUGAUUUAAAUAAAACAUGAUAACUUAAAAUGAAACAAAAAUCAUGUGACACGGUAUCAACCGGUCACACUCACUUAAGUAAAAAACGACAAAACACACGCCCAACCAAU
rnacentral:lncRNA from 1 species